GCGGGUUUUCGGAAGCUAGUGGAACUUUGUAAAGGCCUCGUAGUGGAUCCCUAGUCAUUCACCUUGGUAGUGUCUAAGGGCCUAGCUAACCCUGGCGACAUGGGAAACACGACUUGUGGGUAAAGGGUACAACCUCUGCAGAGUGUAAAACUGAUAUACUAGCCGAGCUCGCGGUCAUGAGCAGCUCAGGACUCUCCGAUGAUUAAAUUAUGGAACAUAACUCAAUUUGUCAUUUGCAUACGCAUAGGAUUAUUUAUUAAUUUUGUUCUAUUACUUUAUUUAAGGUUUGGUAUUUACUUACACUUAGUAAUUGCUAAUAAAAUUUUGACCAACUUAUUAAAAGCAAUGCUCAGCUUUAACCCCUGUCAUUGAUUAGCCUUACACAUCAUAUGAACUCUCACCUUUGGUAAGUUCAUGCCACAUUAUUCCCCACAACUUGUUGAGCGAUGAACAUGUGUGAGCUCACCCUUACUGUCUCACACCCCCCACAGGAGAAGAACAGGUGGUUCAGGAGGAGCCACGUAUCGAGGAGUUCAAUUCAAUCUAGGUGGUGUUUCUCAGUUGACAUUGGUGCCGACGAUCCUUAGUUCGUGUUAUAUUUAUCUUUUAUUUUUGUAAGUCUUCCGCUAUGUAAUAAAUACUCUGAUUAUUGUGACAUUUAUCUCUAUACACUCAGUUAUUAUAUAUGUUGUCUUCUUGGCGCAUGUAUGAGAUGCACCUGGCUUUGUUCCUUAAAGCCGGGUGUGACACUAAAUAACAAAACAGUUAUUUGUGGUCGGAA
rnacentral:lncRNA from 1 species